rnacentral:sRNA from 1 species
AAUAUAAUUUAAAAUAUAUUUAUAAACAAAAUAUAGAUACAACAUACAUAUAAUAGUAUAUUAACAGUUAAAAAUAAACUCUAAGAAAACGAUAAAAACCAAGUUGGGUACCCACGAGUAGUCUCGGAAUAAUCAGGUUUUUUCGGGUUUUACCCACUUAUUCAAAAACCCAUCUGGGUUUUUUAAAGUUGGAUUUUUGGUGGACGGGUUUAUUUUGGGUUCAGGUCGGGCUGAGCUUUUUUACCCACCACAACAUCUCUAACUACUACAGACACUGACAAAUCUGACUUGGCUUUUUAUAAAACUUAAUGUUUUUUGCAUUUUUGGUUGUUAUAUGUUGGCAGCAUGCAGCAGCCAACGAGUUAUGUGUAGAUGCUGGUUCAACCAACUCGACCUAU